GCUUGGUAGCGCACUUGACUGGGGGUCAAGGGGUCGCAGGUUCAAAUCCUGUCAUCCCGA
rnacentral:tRNA from 1 species